AAUCUAUCAAGAGUGAACGAGAGAUCUGGCUCCAUGACUUCACAGCAGCCGCCGCUUGCCGGAAAGGUGCUCCAACCAGCAAAGCACGAUGCUUUGGCCGAUAAAGA
rnacentral:ncRNA from 2 species